GACGAACCGUGCGAACGUUGUUCGGAUUCACUGGGCUUAAAGGGCGCGUAGGCGGGCUCGCAAGUCAGGGGUGAAAUCCUCCGGCUCAACCGGAGAACAGCCUUUGAUACUGCGAGUCUCGAGGAAGGUAGGGGCAUGUGGAACUUCCGGUGGAGCGGUGAAAUGCGUAGAUAUCGGAAGGAACGCCGGUGGCGAAAGCGACGUGCUGGACCUUUUCUGACGCUGAGGCGCGAAAGCCAGGGGAGCAAACGGG
rnacentral:rRNA from 1 species